UACGUAGGGUGCAAGCGUUGUCCAGAAUUAUUGGGCGUAAAGAGCUCGUAGGCGGUCUGUCGCGUCGGCUGUGAAAACCCGAGGCUCAACCUCGGGCCUGCAGUCGAUACGGGCAAACUAGAGUACUGCAGGGGAGACUGGAAUUCCUGGUGUAGCGGUGAAAUGCGCAGAUAUCAGGAGGAACACCGGUGGCGAAGGCGGGUCUCUGGGCAUGAUCUGACGCUGAGGAGCGAAAGUGUGGGGAGCGAACAGG
rnacentral:rRNA from 1 species